rnacentral:pre_miRNA from 1 species
CAAGUACUCCCUCCGUCCGGAAUUACUUGUCAUCAAAAUGGAUGUGUCUAGAACUAAAAUACAUCUAGAUACAUUCAUUUCAAUGACAAGUAUUUUCGGAUGGAGGGAGUACAAG